rnacentral:rRNA from 1 species
CCUAUGGGGGGCACCAGUGAGGAAUAUUGGUCAAUGGGCGCGAGCCUGAACCAGCCAAGUCGCGUGAGGGAGGACGGCCCUACGGGUUGUAAACCUCUUUUGCCGGGGAGCAACGGGCGCCACGUGUGGCGCCACUGAGAGUACCCGGAGAAAAAGCAUCGGCCAACUCCGUGCCAGCAGCCGCGGUAAUACGGAGGAUGCGAGCGUUAUCCGGAUUUAUUGGGUUUAAAGGGUGCGUAGGCGGACUGUUAAGUCAGCGGUCAAAUGUCGGUGCUCAACGCCGGCCUGCCGUUGAAACUGGCGGUCUUGAGUGAGCGAGAAGUAUGCGGAAUGCGUGGUGUAGCGGUGAAAUGCAUAGAUAUCACGCAGAACUCCGAUUGCGAAGGCAGCAUACCGGCGCUCAACUGAC